rnacentral:lncRNA from 1 species
CAGAGGAGCAGCAUCUAAAGCAAUGGGAGCUAGGGAGAACCAACUAGAGGAGGUGGCCACAGAGCUGGCUUUUAAAGGGUCUUACAGGAAAAAUCUGGGAGUUCAAGAGCCAUGGGAGAUUAAGGCAAAGGAGCAGAACUCAGAGCAUCAUGGAGAUGACAGCAGGGCAAUGACCGAAAUUGUUGGGUGGGGGCACCUCCCGUCGAAAGCCUUAGUUGCUGACAAGGCCCCAUUCCUGCAGAUGGUGGAGAGUGCUCAGUCUUCCCAAUUCAAGUACAACCAUCUCCUCUGAGUAAAAUAACUUCUGUGGGGUAAUUACUUUCCCUCAUCUCAAGGGCAUUCCCCACCUCCACCUUCACAAAGAAGCAUCAUGGUCAGUUGCAAGGGAAGCCCAUGUAUCCUCCAGGCAUCGUGAUGUUCUCCUGGUCCCUGGGCUGCAUCUGUUGCUGAGUAGCUGAGGCAGGUGUGUCCACCUGUGAUCAGGCACCCAUGGCCUGUUGGUUCCUCCUCAUCCUUCUGAUCCCCUGAGGCCUGCCUGUGGCUGCUCCUGAGAAUUUGGCUGGCAGAGUCUGCUGUGGAGCUGAGUCUACAAGGUAACCGUCUUCCCCAGGACAGCUUGGAAGCCAGCGUCAUCAGUCACCAUCUGUGUUUCCUCUGGAGCACGUGGGAAUUUCCAUGUCCCAUAAAUACUAGGCCAGGGAUGUGGUAACCUUUGGCCCGGUCUCAGGAACUUCCCUCAGAAUUGUCUGUUUUCGUUCGGGCACCAUGCAGCAAGCAGCGCCCUGUUGGCCACAGGGCUUCUCUAAGAGGCAUGGAGUAUUUACAGGAUGAGCCCAAGGAAAGUAAGAAAAUAGUUUCCUAUUCUGGAAGCACCUUACACCUACCCCAACGUCUUCUGCUGAAGUUCAGCCUGGCACUUCAGAUGUGGGAGCCAAAAGGAUGCUAAUCUGACUUCCUACCCUUCUUCCUUAGUGGCUUCCUCUUCCCCACCCACUCCCUAUGAGUUUCUUCCUUUCUCUUUAUCUCACAGUUUCUGCCCAUGCCUCAUGUAAUCCUCCUUGCAUUGACUUAAACAAAUGAACUUAAUGUUCAUAUCCCACCAGGCUUGGUCCCUGAUGUGUAAAAUUCCAGCUUUGGGAGUUAGGAAAAAGGUCUUUGCUCUUUCUCACAACAAACUCUGGGUCUUUGAAAAACAGAAGAAGCAUCUUACGACGUUUUUUCCUCUCCUUGUGUUCAGCAUCUGAGUCUCUUCCUCCCUUCGUGAAGGUUCUGCCAUGGUGUGAGUUUGGUGAGAGCUGAGAGAUCAGAUGUUCAAUUUGCUCUCAUAGAUCCCUAGCCUCCAGGGUGGGGGCUGCUUUUGACGUUGAAGUCUGUUUGUUUAGUCAGCCUCUGGAUGUUAUGAGCUCCCAAUAUCCCUCCUAUAAUUUUAAUUUCUGCUUAGGUAGAUUUCAUUUCUGUUUUCUGCAACCAAGAACCAUGCCAUUUCAACAUAUGCUUUCAGAUUAUCAUGUAAGUGGAAGCAGAUUGUCAUGUAAACUUAAGUUUAAAAUAAAAAUUCCAAGAGAUCAGUGCCUGUUCUUUGAAGGUUCUAAUUUUAUUAUGAUGUGAUCAAUUCUUUUGUUUUAGUUGGGGCAGGUGGUGGCUUGGGGCAACCAG